rnacentral:rRNA from 1 species
UACAGAGGGGGCAAGCGUUGUUCGGAAUUACUGGGCGUAAAGGGCGCGUAGGCGGCCUUCUAAGUCGAACGUGAAAUCCCCGGGCUCAACCCGGGAACUGCGUCCGAUACUGGAAGGCUUGAAUCCGGGAGAGGGAUGCGGAAUUCCGGGUGUAGCGGUGGAAUGCGUAGAGAUCCGGAAGAACACCGGUGGCGAAGGCGGUCUGCUGGGCAGUUGCUGACACUGAGGCGCGACAGCGUGGGAGCAA